rnacentral:rRNA from 1 species
AGAACGAACGCUGGCGGCAGGCUUAACACAUGCAAGUCGAACGCUCCGCAAGGGGAGUGGCAGACGGGUGAGUAACGCGCGGGAAUCUACCCAAUACUACGGAAUAGCUCCGGGAAACUGGAAUUAAUACCGUAUGUGCCCUACGGGGGAAAGAUUUAUCGGUAUUGGAUGAGCCCGCGUUGGAUUAGCUAGUUGGUGAGGUAACGGCCCACCAAGGCGACGAUCCAUAGCUGGUCUGAGAGGAUGAUCAGCCACACUGGGACUGAGACACGGCCCAGACUCCUACGGGAGGCAGCAGUGGGGAAUAUUGGACAAUGGGCGCAAGCCUGAUCCAGCCAUGCCGCGUGAGUGAUGAAGGCCUUAGGGUUGUAAAGCUCUUUCAGUGGGGAAGAUAAUGACGGUACCCACAGAAGAAGCCCCGGCUAACUUCGUGCCAGCAGCCGC